rnacentral:tRNA from 1 species
AGUUAUUUAGCUUAUUUAAAGCAAUUGUUUUGAAAGCAAAAGAAAGAUUAUUAUUUAAUGACUU